rnacentral:lncRNA from 1 species
AUCUCCUGGACACGAGGAGAGGGCAAAGGUCAACCAGAAACUGGAGGAGGAAUUCCUGCUGGCCCAGACACUGGAGAUGAGGGUGUUUCUAAAAAAAUUGCACAGGAGUUGCGCACUGUUCCCUGCCGUAUGUGAGAGACAAUCCCUGUGGUCUGAGGUCGGUCAAGCCAGUGCCAGUAUGGAGUCAGUAUCUCACUGAACACUCCUCUCUACCUGUGUGUAAGGAUGGAACUGUGUCAGAAGUCUCCAGAAGGCCAGAACCUGACAGAAACGUUCCGCUAUCUGUCAGGAGAACAUUCAUGACGCUGACAUGAAGGAGACAUCAACGCUGCUUACUCAGAGAUGGUCAUCAACUGGAUCUGUCAGAUUUGACUGGACGAAAAAGGAAACAGACUAAGAGAUGGGUAUACCUGACUGGAUAUAUGUGGAUCAGGAAAACCCUUCAUGUAUCUCCCCAAGUCGUUGUUGAUGCUGUGAUUCUUCAGCCUUUGCGGUCAGAUUGAUUGUGUGUGGCAGGGGUUGCCAAGCUACAGCCUAGGGGCCAGAUCCAGCCCAGGAGAUGAGUUUGACCGGCCACCGUGCCACCAUGUGGGACAAAUACUUACAGGAUGUUUGUACUCAGGACUUGCUCACCUAAAUAAUGUUAGUCAUUUCAUUGAACUCUACAGUACAUGUACAAUUUAAAUGUGCUUUUAAAGAUGUUGCAUCUUUGACCUUAUUUGUCUCGCUCUUGCAAGGAAUUAUUUUACUGACCCAGAAAGUUUUCUGUUCCAUUAUUAUUUUUCUUAAAUGUGGAUCAUCACUGCAGCUUGCCGUAUACGGUAUAUUGUCAAUUUAUAUCUAUAGUCACUGAACCUGUUGAGCAAUUUCAGUGAAAGAUAGAUGUUCCUUUAGAUGAUAUUAACAUGUCUAUUGAUAUUAUAUAACAAUAAUAUGUUAUGUAAAAGUAAGUAUAUGGGUUUAUUGCCCCUAUCAACGCUAUUACAGGGAUGCCAAAUCUCCGUUUUUUCCGGCUUUUUCUGGUUUUUUCCUACUCUUGCAAAGGGAAGGGGAAUGGUAAGAGAAAAGUUUUUGUUUGUUCAUGGAAAGAUUUCACAAGGUUGGUUACAGGUGAGAUGUGGCACUCCACUCAUUUUCAGGUUUUUUUUCAAAAACCAUUUGGCCUCCCUGCUAUUAGGUUAUUUAAGAGGCAGGAUUUCCUCAUUUAAUGUCCAUUUUCCAUAAAGGCUCUCAACCCAUUUUGCCAGGUCCCAUGGAAAACGGACAUUAAAUUAGGAGGUCCUGUUUCUGGAUAAUAGUGUAGAUUUGAUUUUUGUAUUAGCUGGUGAAAAAAGAAUGUACUGUAGAACAAAGUGACCACGAGUUCUUUAAUUGCCACUUACACACAUUGUUAGGUGUUUGUGUCACUAAAUGUAAUUCUAGAAACGUCCAGAAUAAUUGGAGUUUCCUUUUUCUUCUCCCCUAUUUUCCUCAGGAGGUCAUUGUGUAUACAUGAAGAUCAAAGCACGCCUUUUAAAUAAUCUAAAUUGUCCCGAUAGGGGUGUAAAAAACUUUUACAUUUAAAGCAAAAACCCUGAGGCAGGUCAGAUGAGCCAUAUUGUAGAACGUCAAUUGUCUUUUAGCUCGAGUAGUUGAAAUUCUGUUUGUUGAGUUUGCUGGUAGGGUAGAUUUGUGAAAACAAUUUUUU